CAGCCGCCGCGGGAAUACGUAGGGUGCAAGCGUUAAUCGGAAUUACUGGGCGUAAAGCGUGCGCAGGCGGUGUUGUAAGGCUGAUGUGAAAUCCCCGGGCUCAACCUGGGAACUGCAUUGGUGACUGCAGCGCUGGAGUGCGGCAGAGGGGGAUGGAAUUCCGCGUGUAGCAGUGAAAUGCGUAGAUAUGCGGAGGAACACCGAUGGCGAAGGCAAUCCCCUGGGCCUGCACUGACGCUCAUGCACGAAAGCGUGGGGAGCAAACAGGAUUAGAUACCCGAGUAGUCCCUGUCUCUUAUAA
rnacentral:rRNA from 1 species